UAAAAACUGCACUGUUGGUUAAGGGCUUGUAAGUAAGCAUUUCACUGUAUGGUCUGUAUUCGGCGCACGUGACAAAUACAUUUUGAUUUGAACCUGAUUUCAACAUCUGGAAAAUACGUAUUUUCACCUUUCAUUCAGAACCUACAAUGAACCUAACUUCGACAUCUUGAAAAUACGUAUUGUAGACGUCAUUUUAACGUAAUUUUGCUUACUGGGACUAUUCUGAUAAGGGGCGGCAAUUUUGUGGUCUCGCCUAUGGCGGCCGGGAUCGGCCGGUCACAUGAGCAUUUUCACUUUCCAAACGCCAUUUGAAGUGGGUUUCAGUGCAGGCGGGAGAUCUAUUUUAUCUUCGAAAAGAACAAUAGCAACAUGCUGUAGGCCUACAACUGAAAACGUUUUUGAUUACGUCCAUCGUCCAAACUGGAAUGUAGCCUAUUUUCGUCUCGAUUGCUUUUGCGCGUCUAUCGUCUGAAUGAAUCAUUCCACCCUGGGCCUGAAAUUGAAAUAAAACUGAGUUGAAGAGGUGAAGUACAGUUACGAUCGGCGCCAAUGGACACGUUGGCUUUUCUGACAGAUAAGCAGUUACUGCAGUUUUUACGCUGUAGUAGGACAGAGAUGUCGUGCAUGGUGCAACCACACACCUUUCUUAACCAGCUCCGUGACCACCACCUCAUUCCGGAGAACAUGUACAAGAAGCUGAUUUUGAUUAGGAGUAAGGAGCUGAGGGAGAAGGGUGUGUACCGGGUGUUGGACUGGGUGGAGGCAGAGAGGCCCGACAGCAUCAAGGUGUUCUGGAACUGUGUGUUCAGGGAUCACCUCCUGCAGCAGUACCCCACGUUACGCCUGCUACGAAACCGCCUGCUGGACGGGUCGUUCACAUUCUAUGAGAAACUGCCAGAGAAGGUGGAGAAGGAAGAGGAGGAGGAUAAGAAGAAGAAGGCUUCAGCGGAAGGAGGAGAGGAGGAGGAGGAGAAGACAGGAAGGAAAAAGAGGAAACAGAAAAAGAGAAGUGCGAGUGCGGAGGAGGAGCAGCCCAGCACAUCCACCCAGUCCACCCCCAGUCAGAAGAGGAAAGUCCAGAGGCUCAAAUACUGCUCACCUUUCAGGAAGGGGGAGAAAGCUGACAUCUGGACCUGGCCAAUCUACAAGAGCCAGCUCCCAGUCACCUGUGGGGACAAAGAAGGCAUGCUCAACAGGGACAAGCUGGCCAAAGGGGAGAAGUGCAUUGUAGCCCAGGGUCGCUGGUUCACCCCAAGUGGCUUUGAGGAGUUUGGGGGGAAGAAGAGCCGUAAGAACUGGAAGUGCAGUAUCCGCUGUAGAGACACCACUCUGGAAAAACUGAUCCAGGAAGGCCAUUUAACUUCACCAGACUUUAAAAGAAGAAAGAGUGCACAGACCAAGAGAGCACUGUUUCCCUCCAACCAAUCAGCGGGCUCAAUCACAGGUAUGUACACCAAUUACAACUCAAUGGAAUCUUUCUGAAUCCUUUAAACAUGACUUUCUGGUAAAGGGGAU
rnacentral:lncRNA from 1 species